rnacentral:rRNA from 1 species
GCUGGUAAUUAUAGCGCUGGGGAACCACCUGAACCCAUUCCGAACUCAGAAGUGAAAUUCAGUAGCGCCGAUGGUAGUGUAAGGCAUCCUUAUGCGAGAGUAGGACAUUACCAGCC